rnacentral:rRNA from 1 species
GCAGAACGCGAAGAACCUUACCUACACUUGACAUACCUCUUGGGGCUUUCAGAGAUGAUUGCUUUCGGUUCGGCCGGGGAGGAUACAGGUGCUGCAUGGCUGUCGUCAGCUCGUGUCGUGAGAUGUUGGGUUAAGUCCCGCAACGAGCGCAACCCUUAUCAUUAGCUGCUACCAUUAAGUUGAGCACUCUAAUGAGACUGCCCGGGUUAACCGGGAGGAAGGUGGGGAUGACGUCAAAUCAUCAUGCCCCUUAUGUCUAGGGCCACACACGUGCUACAAUGGUGAGUACAACGAGAUGCGAACCCGCGAGGGGGAGCUAAACUUAAAAACUCAUCUCAGUUCGGAUUGCAGGCUGCAACUCGCCUGCAUGAAGCUGGAGUUGCUAGUAAUCGCGAAUCAGAAUGUCGCGGUGAAUAUGUUCCCGGGUCUUGUACACACCG